rnacentral:rRNA from 1 species
GACGAACGCUGGCGGCGUGCCUACUACAUGCAAGUAGGACGCAGUUGCGAACGGGUGAGUAACGCGUAGGUAACUACCUAUUAGAGGGGGAUAACUAUUGGAAACGCUAGCUAAUACCGCAUACUAGUAGAUGUACCUGCGUUGUAUUAGCUAGUAGGUAGGGUAAUGGCCUACCUAGGCAACGAUACAUAGCCGAUCUGGGAAGGGGAUUGGCCACACUGGGAAUGGGAAAAGGCCCAGAAUCCUACGGGAGGGAGCAAGAGGGAAUCUGCGGCAAUGGGGGGAAACCCGACCGAGUAACGCCGCGUGAGUGAAGAAGGUUUUCGGAUGGUAAAGCUCUGUUGUGAAGGAAGCGGUACUUAACAAGAAAGGGACGGCUAACUACGUGCCAGCAGCCGCGGUAAGGC